rnacentral:rRNA from 1 species
UACGUAGGGUGCAAGCGUUAAUCGGAAUUACUGGGCGUAAAGCGUUCGCAGGCGGUGAUGUAAGACCGAUGUGAAAUCCCCGGGCUUAACCUGGGAACUGCAUUGGUGACUGCAUCGCUCGAGUAUGGCAGAGGGGGGUAGAAUUCCACGUGUAGCAGUGAAAUGCGUAGAGAUGUGGAGGAAUACCGAUGGCGAAGGCAGCCCCCUGGGUCAAUACUGACGCUCAUGCACGAAAGCGUGGGGAGCAAACAGG